ACGGACGAGGAGACGCGCAUCGGGCUGUCUUACGCGCGGCUGUGCCAGAGCGUCAAGCCCGGGGGAACGAUUCUCAUCGCGGACGGCUCUAUCUCUAUUCGCGUCGACUCCAUCGAGUCCGACACCGUGCUCAAGGGCACGGUGAUGAACACGAAGAAGCUCGGCGAGCGCAAAAACUGCAACCUCCCCGGCGUCAAGGUGGACAUCCCGGUGCUCACGGCGAAGGACAUCGACGACGUGCAGAACUUCUGCUGCAAGAACAAGAUGGACUUCGUCGCGGUUUCCUUCGUGCAAACCGGCGAGGACGUGCAGUUCGUUCGUAAGACGCUGGACGACGCCGGUGGGCAACACGUUCGCAUCAUCUGCAAGAUUGAGAACGAAGAGGGCAUGCGCAACUUCGACGACAUCCUGAAGUACACCGACGGCGUGAUGGUCGCGCGCGGCGACCUCGGCAUGGAGAUCCCGUCCGAGAAGGUCUGCCUCGCGCAGAAGUUGAUGAUGACUAAGUGUAACAUCGCGGGCAAGUUCGUCAUCUGCGCGACGCAGAUGCUCGAGUCCAUGUGCGAUAACCCCUUGCCGACGAGAGCGGAGAUGCUCGACGUCGCGAACGCGGUGUUUGACGGCGCGGACGCGACGAUGCUCUCGGGAGAGACCGCGAACGGCGCGUUCCCGGACAAGGCUGUCGCGACGAUGGCGGCGAUCGUCCGCAACGCCGAGGAAGGCCUCGAAGGCGACACGACGUGGUCCAACGUCUGGAACAACACCCCAAAGCCGGUCACCCCCCUCGAGGCCGUCGCGUCCUCCGCGGUCANNNNNNNNNNNNNNNNNNNNNNNNNNNNNNNNNNNNNNNNNNNNNNNNNNNNNNNNNNNNNNNNNNNNNNNNNNNNNNNNNNNNNNNNNNNNNNNNNNNNCGCUUCGGAAGGUGAACAAAGAGAAGGGCACGAACUGCGGCGUGCUUCUCGACACGAAAGGCCCAGAGAUUCGCACCGCGAUGCUGAAAGACCACGAGCCGAUCGAGCUCGAGGCCGGGCAGGACAUCAUCGUCUACGCCGCCGGCCCGGAGGAGUACCUCACGUACGAGGGGUACAAGAACGAGACGGAGACGAAGAUCGGGUGCUCGUACGCCAAGCUGUGCGAGAGUGUGCACCCAGGAAAUAAGCUACUUUUCGCGGACGGCUCCGUCGUGAUCGAGGUGACCGAGAUUCUCGACGAGAGGAACCUCAAGGGGAAGGUUCUCAACAACAAGAAGCUCGGCGAGCGCAAGAACGGGAACCUCCCCGGCGUCAAGGUCGAUCUCGACGUCCUGCAACCGAAGGACGUCGACGACAUCAAGAACUUCUGCUGCAAGAACAAGAUGGACUACGUCGCGGUUUCCUUCGUGCAAACCGGCGAGGACGUCAAGUACGUUCGCUCCAUCCUCGACGAGAACGGCGGCGAGAACGUCCAGAUCAUCUGCAAGAUCGAGAACGAAGAGGGCAUGCGCAACUUCGACGACAUCCUGAAGUACACCGACGGCAUCAUGGUCGCGAGAGGCGACCUCGGCAUGGAGAUCCCCUCCGAGAAGGUUGCCCUCGCGCAGAAGAUGAUGAUCACGAAGUGUAACAUCGCGGGCAAGUUCGUCAUCUGCGCGACGCAGAUGCUCGAGUCCAUGUGCGAGAACCCGCUUCCCACGCGCGGUGAGAUGACCGACGUCGCGAACGCGGUGUUCGACGGCGCGGACGCGACGAUGCUCUCGGGCGAGACCGCGAACGGCGCGUUCCCGGACAAGGCUGUCGCGACGAUGGCGGCGAUCGUCCGCAACGCGGAGGAAGGCGUCAACAGAACCCAAGUCUGGAACUUCAUCCGCGACUUCACCCCCGCGCCGGUGUCCUCCAUCGAAGCCGUAACGUCCUGCGCCGCGAAAGUGUGCAUCGACAUCCCGGAGAUCUCCUGCAUCGUGUGCUUCUCGCGAGGCGGGUUCCGAGGCAACCUCGUGUCAAAGUACCGUCCGGCUGUGCCCAUCGUCGUCGUGACGUCCUCCGCGGCGUCCGCUGUGCACACGAACGCGGAGUACGGUCAGUACGCGUACCUCAUCUCCGAGCCCGGGACGCCGGAGACGGAGAGCGGCAUCCUCGCGGACGCGCUGAAGUUUGCCGUGGACGAGGGCCUCGCCAAGCCGGGGACGCCGGUCGCCGUCAUCAGCGGCACCUCGGCGCGGGAUAAGCGAACGAUUCCAAAGUUUGGUCUCACGCGCGCGCCGGGGGUAUACGUCCCGCCGGUCAUCGGCCGCGUGUCCGAGACGAAGACGACGUCGCUUCGCGCGACCGCGGUGUCUCUGGACGAGAUCCUGUCCCCGGUGCACCCGGUGCGGAAGACGAAGAUCGUGUGCACGAUGGGGCCGCAGUGCUGGGGCGAGGAGACCGUCGCGAAAUUGUUGGACGCCGGGAUGACGACGGCGCGGUUCAACUUUUCGCACGGCGACCACGCCGGGCAUCAGGAGGUGCUCGACCGCGUGCGCAAGGUUGUAGAGGAGAAGGGCGCGACGUGCGCGAUGCUUCUGGACACGAAAGGCCCGGAGAUUCGCACCGCGAUGCUGAAAGACCACGAGCCGAUCGUUCUCGAGGCUGGCCAGCCCAUCACCGUCGAGGCCGUCGGGGACAAGUACACCGAGUUCGAGGGGUACAAGACGGACGAGGAGACGCGCAUCGGGCUGUCUUACGCGCGGCUGUGCCAGAGCGUGCACGCUGGAAACACGAUCCUCAUCGCGGACGGCUCUAUCUCUAUUCGCGUCGACUCCAUCGAGUCCGACACCGUGCUCAAGGGCACGGUGAUGAACACGAAGAAGCUCGGCGAGCGCAAAAACUGCAACCUCCCCGGCGUCAAGGUGGACAUCCCGGUGCUCACGGCGAAGGACAUCGACGACGUGCAGAACUUCUGCUGCAAGAACAAGAUGGACUACAUCGCCGCGUCGUUCGUGCAAACCGGCGAGGACGUGCAGCUCAUUCGCAAGACGCUGGACGACGCCGGUGGGCAACACGUCCAGAUCAUCUGCAAGAUUGAAAACGAAGAAGGUCUCGCGAACAUCGACGACAUCCUGACGUACACCGACGGCAUCAUGGUCGCGCGCGGCGACCUCGGCAUGGAGAUCCCGUCCGAGAAGGUUGCCCUCGCGCAGAAGAUGCUCAUCACGAAAGCGAACGUCGCCGGGCGGUUCGUCAUCUGCGCGACGCAGAUGCUCGAGUCCAUGUGCACGAACCCGCUCCCGACGAGAGCGGAGAUGACCGACGUCGCAAACGCGGUGUUCGACGGCGCGGACGCGACGAUGCUCUCGGGCGAGACCGCGAACGGCGCGUUCCCGGACAAGGCUGUCGAGACGAUGGCGGCGAUCACCGCGAACGCGGAGCUCGCGAAGACGACGCGCGCGACGGUGUCGUUCCUUCGCGACUUCACGAAGCGCCCGUUUACGACGAUGGAAUCCGCGGCGUCCGACGCCUCCGCCGGGGCGAUCGACGCGCGCGCGGAGCUCAUCAUCGUCGUCUCCGCCGGCGGCGUCGCGUCUCGGGCGAUCAGCAAGUACCAGCCCCCGGUCCCGGUGCUCGUCGUGACCGCGGACGCGGCGGUCGCGCGACAGACGGGCGCGAAGUACGCGCAGUAUCCGAUGCUCGUCGAGGAUUUAUCCGCGGAGCAGUGGACCGCGGGACGGGACUCGAUCGCGGCGAAAAAAGC
rnacentral:lncRNA from 1 species